GGGAGAAAGAGCAGUUGGGGAGCUUCAUGCAGGCUUCCUCCAUCAGCUGCUCUUAAUGAUAAAGCAAUGAGUUGGAUUUAACCACUUCCUGCCACCUACUGCCUUUUUGCCGAUGAUGUCUCUUCAGGGAAUAGAUCUUAAAGCAGAAUUUAUGGGCCAGCUGAGCCUGCAGAAGAGGUUUCCACGCCUGGCUUCCUGCCCCCAUGGUCCUGAUGCAGGAGAAAGCAGCAGCUCAGAUCCAGAGUUUAUCGGGUGGAGGAGGAGAGAGCUUGUGUCCUGUCCCCCUGGGGCUCUUCCCUGCCCUCUGUGUUUGCUUCAGCCGCCCCCCUGGAGCAUCUGGCACCAGCAUCGUGCACAGGCACUGCUCAGGGUCCAAGUGUGGCCUCGUGACAUAGAUCAUCAGGAUUUCAGAUGAUUUGAGAAGAAUGUCCCCUGCCCCCAACUCAGACCACCCCUAGACUAGAAUUUCACAGGAACAUCAUCCUUUCUUUGGCAAAGCAUUCUUCAUCUUAUAAAUGGCAGAUUCUCCUGAGGAUGGAAAAGCACCAAGCCUCCCUUCUAAUGUGAAUCUUCAUGGUCAAAGGUACCUAAUAUUUAACAGAAAUACACAGCACCCAAGGCAUCAUCAUGACUCGAUCCCAGAUCUCUUUUCACUUGAUCCUGGGGUUCAUCUUAGCAACUCAAUCAGGCACUACCAAAUGAUUAGAAAUGGCUCUGGAGAUGAAAUUCAUUUGCCAACUUGGGUUCCAGGAAACAGAAAGACAUGUCUCUGUAAAUAAUGAAGGCCACGACAACCGUCAUAACCCACGUCCGCUCCAUCGCAGAAGCCCUGGUAGCCCUGCUAUUAGAGGAACCUCACAUUUCAUCUGCCGUUGGUGAUGGGCAAGUUUCAAUUUGGGCUGACCAGGCCCUGAAAUGAUCUACAAAUGGCAGGUUGCAGACUGUUAUUUUAUGAACUAUAGGCUAGUUGGAAAGUCUUACUUUUUUCCUAAGGAAGGUCAUCUGUUCAAUAUGGAAAUUACUUUUGAGCAAGGACUGCUGGAGGGCAUGUCCCACAUGCUACAUGUUUCUCUAAGGAAAAACAUUGCAAAUUCUAGUUGCUUCCAGUUCUUUUUGUGGACAAGCCACCAGUUAACCUAUUUUUUAAAGGUCCUUCCUGGCCAUACACACAUGGAGUGAACAGGUUGGGUCAGCUCUUCAGUCACCACUCCCCACCCAUCCUUUCUCAAGAGCCUUUAAUGACCCAGUUCAGUCCAUCUUCCCUCACGGCUUCACCGUGGGCCCUGAUGUGUUGAGUCAGCUACUCUUCAGCCUCUGAUCUGGUCAUUGUCAGCUGCUCAUUGUAAGUCAGGCCAAUCAUGCCAGCACAACUCAU
ensembl:lncRNA